CAAUAGCGUAUAUUAAAGUUGUUGUGGUUAAAAAGCUCGUAGUUGAACCUUGGGCCUGGCCGUCCGGUCCGCCUCACCGCGUGUACUGGCUCGGCCGGGCCUUUCCCUCUGUGGAACCCCAUGCCCUUCACUGGGCGUGGCGGGGAAACAGGACUUUUACUGUGAAAAAAUUAGAGUGCUCCAGGCAGGCCUAUGCUCGAAUACAUUAGCAUGGAAUAAUAGAAUAGGACGUGUGGUUCUAUUUUGUUGGUUUCUAGGACCGCCGUAAUGAUUAAUAGGGACAGUUGGGGGUAUUCGUAUUCCGUUGUCAGAGGUGAAAUUCUUGGAUUUACGGAAGACGAACUACUGCGAAAGCAUUUACCAAGGAUGUUUUCAUUAA
rnacentral:rRNA from 1 species